rnacentral:rRNA from 1 species
CACCCUACGGGGGGCAGCAUUUCUUCCUCUUGGUCCCUUUUCUUGAGCCUGAACCAGCCAAGUCGCGUGAGGGAAGACGGUCCUAUGGAUUGUAAACCUCUUUAGGCGGGGAGCAAUGCCGGGCACGCGUGUCCGGAGGGAGAGUACCCGCAGAAUAAGCAUCGGCUAACUCCGUGCCAGCAGCCGCGGUAAUACGGAGGAUGCGAGCGUUAUCCGGAUUUAUUGGGUUUAAAGGGUGCGUAGGCGGAUUUUUAAGUCAGCGGUAAAAUGUCCGGGCUCAACCCGGGCCGGCCGGUGAAACUGGG